AUUGAACGCUGGCGGCAGGCUUAACACAUGCAAGUCGAACGAGUGGCGGACGGGUGAGUAAUGCCUGGGAAACCGCCUGAUGGAGGGGGAUAACCACUGGAAACGGUAGCUAAUACCGCAAACCAUCAGAUGUGCCCAGAGGGGAUUAGCUUGUUGGUGGGGUAACGGCUCAUCAGGGCGACGAUCCCUAGCUGGUCUGAGAGGAUGACCGUCCACACUGGAACUGACACACGGUCCAGACUCCUACGGGAGGCAGCAGUGGGGAAUCUUGCGCAAUGGGCGCAAGCCUGAUGCAGCCAUGCCGCGUGUAUGAGGAAGGCCUUCGGGUUGUAAAGUACUUUCAGCGGUGAGGCGUUACCCGCAGAGAAAGCCCCGGCUAACUCCGUGCCAGCAGCCGCGGUAAUUC
rnacentral:rRNA from 1 species